CUCUUAACUUUAAUUGUUUUUGGUAUUGAUUUCGUUAAAUUUUUUUUUUUUUUUUGAUAGCUUCUAUUUUGGUGCCACUAUAUCUAUGAAGGUUUCAAUUGCUGCCAAGACUCAGUAGUGCUUCAAGAGAGAAAACACAGGUACCCAAAUGAACACAAUGUUGGGGUUGAGUAAGGGGAGUCAAGAUUCACUGAGGGAGGCGAUGUGGGUUGGGCAUGACACUUUACCUUAUUAGAAGUAUCCAUGGUUUUGGAGAAUUUGUCGACGUAGAAGAUUUUGUGGAAGAGAUCAAGAAGCUGUGCCAGGCGUGGACUAACGUCGGAUUUUUCAUCUCAUUAUUGAAAAUUUAUUUUUUAAGAGCAACAUUGUCUAUAAUAUAUAAAUUUUGAUGCACUAUUAUUUACUUUUGGAUGUGUAACCUUAUCAAAACCCUGUGUUUCUUUGUUAUUAUAUCUUCAAUUUUUGGGGCUUCACAUCGACAA